UUUCUCCACAGCAUUGUCAUAGAUUUCCCAUCAAGUUUUUUGGCACCACCAUUCAUGCUCAUAUUCGUCAUGGAUGGAGUAAAUUGAUGUGAGAUGCCAAAACUUUGUACAAUUAUCUCCCUGAGGACAACUGUGUUGGAGAGCCAGAAUGUCAGCCUAUAACAAUAGUAGUUUGUUAGUUCGAGGGUUUUUUUUUGAGUAAUGUUAUGCUGGAGCUAAAAAAUUCAGAUUAAACGCAACUAAGUUAUACCUCGAAGCAUCAUUGCUACUGGACUUUGCAACAAGAACAAGACCAGAAGCAAUGUUUUUUGCUACCCAGGACAGCAGAACCAUGUGGAGAAACAACUACCAGGUCCGCAGAAGUUACCCAGGACAGCCAAAAGUGCUCAUAAUACAAGCUAAGUAGCCCUAAUACAAGAAUGUCGUGCCCCUUCAACAUACUGACCAAUGGUAACACCAACCUGAACCAUUCAAAGAUACAAGAAAUCUUCACCAGAGACAAGCUUAGCUAAUGAGUGGUAAACCUUCUAGAUUGCCAGCUUCAACUUUCAUGGUUUGACAAAUUUAUCUUAGAACAAACAGUAGAUGUGUUGGUUUUUAGAAAAAAACUAAAAUAGAUGUGCUCAAAACUUAUUGUCUUGGUUGCCCUCUCUGGGAAUCUGCUGAUGAAGCAGACUUGAUGUUCCCCUGGUCAAGUGGGCAAGCAAUGGUGGCCAAUAAAAAUGCUAGUCUACUGAAAAAAUGACAUAUGUUGAUUCGUCUGAUUCCAGGAUACAUUUCACAAAUAGACAAAAGAAUGUGUUCUGCACAAUGUAUAGGACUGAUUUUACUAAUUCUAUAUAAUUAAGUCUGUUGCAGUUGCAGCCAUAAAGUUCUGUUUUGGCUUCUGAUUGAGCACAUGAAAAUUCCACAAAAAACAUAAUAUCAAUGCGGAAAAGGAUUGUAACUUGUAAGGAUCAAGUAAUGCAACAGGAAAAGCAUAGUGGUCUGCUCAAAUAUGGCUUAAUUAAUCUAAGACAAUAGCAAGCAGCAAAACUACAAGAAGAACAUGAGUGAUGUGGGGAAGUUGAUUUAUCUUUAUUGAAAAUAGAACAGAUAAGUUUCAGUAGUUUCCUAAACUGAUCUAUGUGUACAUUCAUCAUGUUAUAGUAGGAUGCUAAGCUCAUCGGUGAAGCUUUGCCUAAUCUAGUCAUUGUGGAUUCAAUAGAAAACAUAUAGGUGGGGAGGAAAGGACCUUUAGAACAGAGGCGUGGAGGUUGAGCUCUUGGAGGAUGGCCUACCUGAGGGCGGCGAUGGUGGCCAUGUCGUCAUCAUCGUCAGUAGUCCUUGGCCAUUUCGUAUCUGAUUGAUCCCACCACAGGAGGAACGGAAGAAUCAAAUUAGAUCUACAGCUGCGAAAAUAACAUGAACAAACUUAUAUUUUAUAUAGUGCAUGGCCAAGGUGUUAUAUAUGGCAUAUUGGCGUAAUAAAGUUUAGACAAAGUGCUUCACCAUAAAUAAGCCUCUACUACAAUGGCAUUAUGUGGUUUUUAGGUCAUCAAGCAACAUGAACACGAACAUCAGUGAUUUGUUGUCAACUAUAGCGCAUAUUGAAACAAAGCUAUGUUGGUAAUCUUGCAUAUAAUCCAAUAAUUACCUCGUUCUUGUGGAAAAUGUCACAUUCAUCUGUGAAGUACUUUUGGGUCUCCUGUCCUGACGCAAGCAUACACAUCAUAGUGGCAGUG
rnacentral:lncRNA from 1 species